CUGAGAGGGCGACCGGCCACUUUGGGACUGAGACACGGCCCAAACUCCAACGGGAGGCAGCAGUGGGGAAUAUUGCACAAUGGGGGAAACCCUGAUGCAGCGACGCCGCGUGAGGGAAGAAGUAUUUCGGUAUGUAAAGCUCUAUCAGCAGGGAAGAUAAUGACGGUACCUGACUAAGAAGCCCCGGCUAACUACGUGCCAGCAGC
rnacentral:rRNA from 1 species